rnacentral:rRNA from 1 species
GACGAACGCUGGCGGCGCGCUUAACACAUGCAAGUCGAACGGAAAGGCCUGCUUUCCCUUGUGGAUUGCGGGUACUCGAGUGGCGAACGGGUGAGUAACACGUGAGUGAUCUGCCCCCAACUUGGGUAUAAGCCUGGGAAACUGGGUCUAAUUCCCGAUAGGACUGCAGGGUGGUGCCUGUGGUGGAAAACGAUUUUCUAGUGGUUGGGGAUGAGCUCGCGGCCUAUCAGCUUGUUGGUGGGGUAAUGGCCUACCAAGGCGGCGACGGGUAGCCGGCCUGGGGGGUUGAACGCCACAUUGGGAACGGGGUUCCGCCCAGACUCCUACGGGAGGCAGCAGUGGGGAAUAUUGCACCAUGGGCGGAAGCCUGAUGCAGCGACGCCGCGUGGGGGAUGACGGCCUUCGGGUUGUAAACUCCUUUCGACCGCGAGGAAGCCACCUGGUUGGAAGGGUGGUGACGGUAGUGGUAGAAGAAGCACCGGCUAACUACGUG